rnacentral:rRNA from 1 species
GUAGUGAACUGCGGAAGGAUCAUUCGA